AGGUCAUGCUGCGGACAACUUGCACAUAAUUUCUUAAACCUCUCCCAGUAAUCAUAGAGAGUUUCUUCAUUUCUUUGUUGGAUUCCCAAAAUGUUUUGCCUAAGUUC